UUGCUCACUCACUUUGACAGCACACAUGUUAAAAGUGGAAGAAUACCAAGAAGAUCAGCAUGGCCCCUGCACAAGAAUGACACACAAAUUCAUGAAGUGUUGCGUGCUUUC
rnacentral:snRNA from 1 species